GACGUAGGGGGCAAGCGUUGUCCGGAUUUAUUGGGCGUAAAGAGCUCGUAGGCGGCUCAGAAAGUCGGGUGUGAAACCUCCAGGCUCAACCUGGAGACGCCACCUGAUACUGCUGUGGCUAGAGUCCGGUAGGGGAGCACGGAAUUCCCGGUGUAGCAGUGAAAUGCGUAGAGAUCGGGAGGAACAUCUGUGGCGAAGGCGGCCACCUGGACCAGCACUGACACUGAGGCACGAAAGCGUGGGGAGCAAACAGG
rnacentral:rRNA from 1 species